ACUUAAAUAGUUUAAUAGAAAAUGUUAGUUUGUGGUACUAAAGAUGUAAAAUAUAUUACUUUGAGUA
rnacentral:tRNA from 2 species